GGAGAGGUGGCUGAGUCCGGUUUAAGGCACACGACUCGAAAUCGUGCGACGUGUUAAAGCGUCCGUGGGUUCGAAUCCCACCCUCUCCGCCA
rnacentral:tRNA from 1 species